AUUUUUAAACACCAAAGAGAAGAAGAGAAUCUAUACAAUCAGUGAAUUAUCUUGGAUAAUUCUGUAGCUAGCCCCCAGAUGGGGGAAGGCUGGCCACCCUGGCUUUUUGCAACAAGUUAGUAUGCAGUGGUACCAAGCAGAUUUCAAGCCUGUUACCCCUUCACCAGUCUUUCCCUUACCCCUGGGCCUUUCAGAAUUUAUACCAUUUAAAAUCAGUGUUUUUCCUUUUAUAUCAUUGAACCAGUAGCUAGCACCAUUUCACUUUUUUUACUCUUCUCUUCUUGGCUCUAGCCUAUUUUCUCACACUUUCUUUCCAACAACUUAUCAAUUUUCUCAGUAACCAGAGCCAGGGUCAUCCAGCUGUGCUGCAUCAAAGCUAAGCCUCAGAUCACAGACAGCUGAACCCCUGGGUUGAGAGCUGUAUCUCCAGGAUAACUGAAGUGCAAGAGGUUUAGGAAAUGCAUUUCCUGAACAGAUCAGCCUAGAUUGGAACUAAAGUGAAUAUUUAAAUGUUUCCUUUGGCUUUAUAAAAUAGAGAUAGAAUUGUCAUAAUCUUAAGCUUUUCCUAAAUAAGGUUAUUAGUUACAGAGUUUGAAGAAGUUUGAAUUUGAAAUUAUCUAAUAGAAACAUCUUUAAUAUCAUAAAUUUGUCUUCCUAGAUUGAUCAGCAUUAAAGCUUAGUAGUGAAUUUUUUUGUUGAAAGGUUUCCAAGAAGCAGUAUUUUUCAGGGAGCUAUAUUACCGUAAUAGAGAAUACUUUUAAAUAUUAGGUAUAUCGCACAAAGUAACAACCAAACAUGUUUGUACUAGUCGUUCUUACUGGAUGUACUUAAAUAACUUUUUAUAUACACUCAAAUAUUAGAUCCUGUAAGAUCUUUGGAGAGAUUUCCGUGGUUUCAGUGGCUAAUGAAGAUAGAAACUCCGUCCUUUUUUCAGUCAAAACAAUCUGUAUUUGAACUUAAAAUUCAAAGAAAUUGGGGAAAAUAGUGGGAACUGAAUUCCUUCUAAAUUCCUGUUCAUUGCUCAAAGUUGUCAGAAAUUAAUUUUAAAAAUUGCUAGAAGAUUUUUAAUAGACAAGGGUUGUCUUUAUUAGUGAAUCCCUACUCCUCAUUUACUGAUUUUACUGAGGUCUGUGACUGGUGUUAAGGACUGAGUCACAAACAGGAUUUGCUUAACUUGACAGCUGUUGUUUCUGUUCAAAAUGGCCUGCUCCUCUCCUUAGUUAACAUUCCCAUGUUUGUGAAUCAGCAGUUUAACCAGUAUUAUUUGUUUCAUAUUAUGUUAAGCAGUCAUUGAUUUUUGGCUUUCAUUAAUACAUUUCCAGUAGUUUUCAAUGAUUCAGUGAAUAUUAAAUGGGUGUUCGAGCCUACAACAUGAGGCUUUCUACAAGUCACAUGUUUAGCCAUCUCCAUUUGUAAAUCAGAGUCCAAAGAAUUGUACAAACUGGAUAUGUUUGUCAUACAGUAAUAUCCAAAGCUCAUCUGUAAACAUUUCCUAGCUACUCCUCAGUGAUAAAUGAUGAUACAGUCCUUUACCAGAACAAAAUGACACCCUAAUAAGGCUUACAUCAAUGGUGACAGGAGAGAGAUGCAAUCAAAUAUACACAAUUUUUACGUACAAGUAUGUGCUUACUUUUAUUAUUAUAAAUAGUCAAAGUGUAAGUAGUAAAGCAGUAGAUCCUCAUUUCUGCUAUGGAAUUAUACUUAGCCUUGUGUGCUUAUCCAAAGGAAAGUGAUAGUUCUUCACUUCCAUUUGAUCUGUUGUUUUUUUGUUUGUUUGUUUUUUUCCCCGUCCCACAGAAUGAAGAAUACUUUUAGAUGUUGACAUCUAAGAAAGCUGAGAUGGUAUGUAGUAGACUACAAAUGAUGAAAGUUUAAUGAAAGUUAUUUUCUCAUAGUGGCUCUAAAUUGGCUAUUUCACAGAGUGAAGUGAGUCCAGUGGAUUGAGAUUGAAUUUCUUACUCUCUGUAAUCCUGUAGUUACUAAAAGUAAUGUGGAAUCCAGAGUUAAGAAAACUGAUUUAACUUCAAUUUUCACAUUAUUGCUAUAUGUAGGAAUUUGUUACUUCGAAGAGAGGAAGGAUUUUUAUGUCCUGAUAUACUCUGUUGUAAGCCUGGAAGUCAAAAUUGGAAACUAUCUUUUAUGAAUAUAAUGAAAGAUAAUAAUGUAAAGCAGCAGGAAAUGGGGAUUUUAAACUUCUAAACUAGGAUAAAGCUUUCUUAUUAUUCAAAUUAUGAACCAAAACAUUUCUAGGUCAAAACAUUUCUAGGUCAAAGACCCACUCCUCCAGUAUUAGGGAUAUCAAUAUAAAAAGCUUGCUUUAAAACAUGGGUAUAAACAGUUAAAAAGCUAAUUAAUAUACAUCUUUGUAUUUGAAUUUGCUGAGCUGUAUUGCUAUAUAUGGCUUUUUAAGAGCCAUCAUUAAAAUACAAUAGCAUUUGUUCACACCUUCAUGCAUACAGCUGAAUCUUGUCAACGUUCAUGGAAGUUAUGAAUGCUAAAUGGGAAAAUAUUUUUUCCUAAGUUUUUUUUUUUUUUUUAUGCACACUUUUGCAUAUUGGAAAGUCCAUGAAAUACUGAGAACAUAACAGAGAAACAGGGAUGGAAUAUAAUGCUAUAUGUAUAUCAUCUAUGCAUACUAUUAAAAAUAUACUAUUUGUGUUAAAUGCUAUAGUAGCAUUUAGUAAGCUACAUCAUGUAAACUAGGAUUUUCCACAAAGUUUAAAAAACAAAGCAAAAAAUUCUAUCUG